rnacentral:rRNA from 1 species
AUUGAACGCUGGCGGCAUGCUUUACACAUGCAAGUCGAACGGCAGCACGGGCUUCGGCCUGGUGGCGAGUGGCGAACGGGUGAGUAAUGCGUCGGAACGUGCCGAGUAAUGGGGGAUAACGCAUCGAAAGGUGUGCUAAUACCGCACACGCUCUGAGGAGGAAAGCGGGGGACCUUCGGGCCUCGCGUUAUUCGAGCGGCCGACGUCUGAUUAGCUAGUUGGUGGGGUAAAGGCCUACCAAGGCGACGAUCAGUAGCGGGUCUGAGAGGAUGAUCCGCCACACUGGUACUGAGACACGGCCCAGACGCCUACGGGAGGCAGCAGUGGGGAAUUUUGGACGAGGGGCGCAAGCCUGAUCCAGCCAUGCCGCGUGCGGGAAGAAGGCCUUCGGGUUGUAAACCGCUUUUGUCAGGGAAGAAACGCUCUGGGCUAAUACCCUGGGGUAAUGACGGUACCUGAAGAAUAAGCACCGGCUAACUACGUGCCAGCCGCCGCGGUAAAAC